rnacentral:rRNA from 1 species
UACGUAGGGUCCGAGCGUUGUCCGGAAUUAUUGGGCGUAAAGGGCUCGUAGGCGGUCUGUUGCGUCGGGAGUGAAAACUUACAGCUUAACUGUGAGCGUGCUUUCGAUACGGGCAGACUUGAGGCAUUCAGGGGAGAACGGAAUUCCUGGUGUAGCGGUGAAAUGCGCAGAUAUCAGGAGGAACACCGAUGGCGAAGGCAGGUCUCUGGGCCACUACUGACGCUGAGAAGCGAAAGCAUGGGGAGCGAACAGG